rnacentral:rRNA from 1 species
UACGUAGGGUGCAAGCGUUAUCCGGAAUUAUUGGGCGUAAAGCGUCCGCAGGUGGCAGUUCAAGUCUGCUGUCAAAGACCGGGGCUUAACUUCGGAAAGGCAGUGGAAACUGAACAGCUAGAGUAUGGUAGGGGCAGAGGGAAUUCCUGGUGUAGCGGUGAAAUGCGUAGAGAUCAGGAAGAACAUCGGUGGCGAAGGCGCUCUGCUGGACCAUAACUGACACUCAGGGACGAAAGCUAGGGGAGCGAAUGGG